CCCUCGCAGGGCAGCCCCGCCUGCUCGUUGUGGACAGGCAUUGAGGCGGGCAGCCUCGUGGGGUCCUUCAGGAGGCAACAUGGACGACGAGGAGGAGACGUACCGGCUGUGGAAGAUCCGCAAGACCAUCAUGCAGCUGUGCCAUGACCGCGGUUACCUGGUGACUCAGGACGAGUUGGAUCAGACGUUGGAGGAGUUUAAAGCUCAGUUCGGGGAUAAACCCAGCGAAGGCCGCCCGCGCCGAACGGACCUGACCGUGUUGGUGGCACAUAACGAUGAUCCCACGGACCAGAUGUUCGUGUUCUUCCCCGAGGAACCCAAAGUCGGCAUUAAAACCAUCAAGAUGUAUUGCCAGCGCAUGCAGGAGGAGAACAUCACGCGGGCUCUGAUCGUGGUGCAGCAGGGAAUGACCCCAUCGGCAAAGCAGUCCUUGGUCGAUAUGGCUCCCAAAUACAUCCUGGAGCAGUUCUUACAGCAGGAGCUCCUGAUCAACAUCACAGAACACGAGCUGGUCCCAGAGCACGUUGUCAUGACAAAAGAAGAAGUAACCGAGCUGCUGGCCAGAUAUAAGCUGAGGGAGAACCAACUCCCCAGGAUCCAGGCUGGGGAUCCUGUGGCCCGAUACUUCGGGAUAAAGCGAGGCCAGGUAAGAGCAAAUAGCCUGAUAACAAACAGCAGGGCCCUGCAGGCAGGAUGGGGAGCUGCAGCACAGUGUGUCAGAGCUUGGAGAUGGGAAAGGUUUCCUCUUUGUUAGUGUUUUUGUUUCUGAACGUUAUGGGUUAUGUAGAGAUGUGUGCAAGGCAGCAGAUAGCCCUGGGGCCAGGCUUGGCUUCCUGCUGAACCAGCUGCUGUAACACCAGCCAUCCCCCAUUGCUCCUUUUGCUGCCCUUCCAGGUGGUGAAGAUCAUAAGACCGAGUGAGACCGCAGGCCGUUACAUCACCUACAGGCUGGUGCAGUGAUCAGAGCUCUCAGUUGUGAAAGAAUUCUGUGACAUCUGAUCUUCCCACCCACCACCAGCUCUCAGCUGUCUGCAUUCGAUGGCUGAGGAAGUUCUCUGUCCCUGCUGCCCCCCUGCAGUUGUUUUCCUUGUCCCAGUUCCUCAUUUCCCAGCACGGAUUUUGCUGCAAAUCCUUCUGCUUCAAUCAGGAACGCCAUGAAAACACCUCGAAGCAACUGAAUGACACAGGGAAGAAAUGAGCAGGAAGAGGCUUUUGCUGCCCUGUUCUCUCAGAUCUUAUUUUUAAUAAAGGUUUGUAUUCUUUGCUGUU